rnacentral:tRNA from 1 species
GGUGGCUCAGUGCUAGAGCACUUGCCUUGCAUGCAAGAGGCUCAGGGUUCGAUUCCUCAGCACCA